UGCACCUUAUAAGCAAUGGUUGCAACCCACCCUAAAACCAAAAGAAGAAGAAGCCACACCUUUUGCUCCGCCAGGAAAGACGUCCUCCAACAAUCAUGCUAUGCCUAUGCUGCUCUGCACCACAGUAUUGCUACCUGAUCAUUCAGACCCACCACCACCCCAGCAUCUACCUGCAGGCUCCAGCUACAUGAAGAUAUUUACUCAUCAAUCCCCAAUAUCUCCGUGCAGAUGUAUUCUGCGGGGAGUGAUGAGGAUGUUACUCAACACUCAAGUUCAGUCAAGUCUUUAAGGAGUCAAGUCUCAAAACCUCGCUGGUGCAACACAAUCGGUGAAACGGCAUUUCUUCUUUCUUGUUUGUUUCAUUGACAGCUGUACAGACUGGUGGAGCAGGCAGCAAACUGAUAUGAAAAUGGCUGGUUAAGGGUGUGUCUUCAUCCAUUUAUAGCUCAUUGUUGGAGUGGAAAUGAGGUUCGUGCAGGUGUGUCCAGUUCCUCAAUGACUGAGAUUUAUAAAACAGAACUAUGCAUACGCACAGCUUUAUAAAUCUGACAAAAAUCAUGCAUAUGCAUAUUUCUGGCUUUGCACGUGCACACAGUCAUGUGAGUUUUAUGCACUUGGCCCCAGUAGUUAAACAUGAGGUUGAGGUUUGAAUGUUUGAAUCUUGCAGUCUGACACAGCUGUCAGUUGGUAGGUUUCUAUCCACCUGUUUUUAUUCACAUUCUCAAUAUAAUUGGAAAAACUGAAAAAAUCUCAAAAUAACUCCAAAAAGUUUUACGCUUCACUGAGGUGGAAAAGUUUGUGUGUCAAUGAAAAGAAAAUGUGACAAAAUGCAAUUGAAACACGGUGAACAAAGCAUGACAUACGUGAAACGUGUGACUUAAACUUACAAUGAAGCUCCAGCUCCACUGAAGAAACAAAAAAUAUCGACAGAUGAAAACAUCAGAUCUAUGUGAAGCGAUGAGACUGUUCCAGCUGUUUAUCUCAACAAACCAACAAAAUCAACGCACUAUAUUCACAUGACUGUAGUGGAUGGAAACUUGUAUUAAAACAGAUUUUCUUUUGCUGAUCUUUUGGAAAUUGGGUUUAAAU